rnacentral:lncRNA from 1 species
GGAGCCUUACAGUGGAGGAGAGAACAAGGGAGGGGGCUCCAACCACUGCAGCCCGACGCUCAUCUCAGACACAGCGCUGUGUCUGUGGACAGGGAGCAUGUCUCCUCCAUCGGGCAGGGGCUCCCUGAGAACAGGGAUGAUUUCUCCCAUCAGACUGGAAACUCCCUCAAGGGGUCCUUUGCAUAGGUUCCUGCCACACUGAGCCCAUCUCAGCUGGCCCAAGCCUUGGGGAGCCAAGCCGGGCCCCUGAAGACGCCUUACUCCCACUC